GCAUAUCAAUAGCGGAGGAAAAGAAACCAACAGGGAUUGCCCUAGUAACGGCGAGUGAAGCGGCAACAGCUCAAAUUUGAAAUCUGGCGCAAGCCCGAGUUGUAAUUUGUAGAGGAUGCUUCUGGCCAGCGGCCGUUCUAAGUUCCUUGGAACAGGACGUCAUAGAGGGUGAGAAUCCCGUAUGUGACCGGCGCGCAGCCUUUACGUAGCUCCUUCGACGAGUCGAGUUGUUUGGGAAUGCAGCUCUAAAUGGGAGGUAAAUUUCUUCUAAAGCUAAAUACCGGCCAGAGACCGAUAGCGCACAAGUAGAGUGAUCGAAAGAUGAAAAGCACUUUGGAAAGAGAGUUAAAAAGCACGUGAAAUUGUUGAAAGGGAAGCGCUUGCAACCAGACUUCGUAGCGAUGUUCCGCUGGUCUUUUGACCGGUCUACUCAUCGUCGCGAGGCCAACAUCGUCUGGGCCCGCUGGAUAAGACCUAAGGAAUGUAGCUUCCCUCGGGAAGUGUUAUAGCCUGUGGUGAUGCAGCGCGGCUCGGGCGAGGUCCGCGCUUCGGCAAGGAUGUUGGCGUAAUGGUUGUCAGCGGCCCGUCUUGAAACACGGACCAAGGAGUCUAACAUCUAUGCGAGUGUUCGGGUGUCAAACCCCUACGCGUAAUGAAAGUGAACGGAGGUGGGAAGCGCAAGCUGCACCAUCGACCGAUCCUGAUGUCCUCGGAUGGAUUUGAGUAAGAGCAUAGCUGUUGGGACCCGAAAGAUGGUGAACUAUGCCUGAAUAGGGUGAAGCCAGAGGAAACUCUGGUGGAGGCUCGCAGCGGUUCUGACGUGCAAAUCGAUCGUCAAAUUUGGGUAUAGGGGCGAAAGACUAAUCGAACCAUCUAGUAGCUGGUUCUGCGA
rnacentral:rRNA from 1 species